AACGAACGCUGGCGGCAGGCCUCAAACAUGCAAGUCUAGGGGGUGUAGCAAUACAUCACCGGCGGACGGGUGCGUAACACGUGGGAAUAUACCUUUCGGUACGGAACAACUGCGGGAAACUGCAGCUAAUACCGUAUACGUCCUAGCGGAGAAAGAUUUAUCGCCGAAGGAUUAGCCCGCGUUCGAUUAGCUAGUUGGUGGGGUAAUGGCCCACCAAGGCGACGAUCGAUAGCUGUUCUGAGAGGAAGAUCAGCCACACUGGGACUGAGACACGGCCCAGACUCCUACGGGAGGCAGCAGUUGGUAAUCUUGGACAAUGGGGGAAACCCUGAUCCAGCCAUGCCGCGUGAGUGAUG
rnacentral:rRNA from 1 species